rnacentral:misc_RNA from 1 species
GUGAAUCAUCGAAUUUUUGAACGCAAAUUGCGCUUCCUAGCAUCCCGGGAAGUAUGCCUGUUUGAGGGUCAUUACUUUCAAAAAAAUCGGUGUUGUUGCGAGUUGUGACGUUUCCUGGGAUUUGGCUAUCUUAACGUUUUAGGUUAAGGGGCUUAAAUUUGAUCUUUUUUGCGCAUUUUUAGACGUACAUAAAUUUUUUUUUAUUCGUUUUUUCUUAUU